UUUCCCUAAGCUAUGCUUAAUUCUGUUUUGAUCUUUUAUAUUUUUAUCUGUCUGUGAAUCUAUGUGCUUUCAUUGCCUAUUGUGUCCAUCUAUAAAGAACUGGAUCAUUUUUCAGCACUAACACAGCUGUGAGUAGAUUUUUAAAGCUCUGCGUUGUUGUGAUCCGCUCAGUGAAGCCUGUGAAGGGAAACAAUGCGGCCUACUUAUGCAGCUCUGCUUCUGUAGAUCUAUAGCUAUUGAGUGCUCAGCAGAGGAUAUUCAUCUCUCCGUGAUUUCAAACAAAGAGACCCUUUUCCUCUGUGACAGCUGCAGUGUUGUGGCCAAUGGGAGGUUCAGUCAGCCCUCCAGCUCAAGGACAUUUUGGCAUGUUGAGAGGCCGAGAUCGAACAACCAUCCAGUUGGUAAACAACAGAUCUAUCAUCUAUGCAGGUGCAGCAGCCCUCUAACAGCCAACAUGACCUCUGGGUUAGCACAAUCCAGUGGUUCUGCUGUUUGUUUUCAUAUCUCUGGGUUGAAAUAAUUAGUUGGAAAUAUGAUUGAUUUGAUUGUUCAAAGGGCUGUUGAAAACAAACAGUUUUUGUUGGGGGGUUUUUCCCAUUAGGGGAGCCAUAUGAUAUUAUAAACAUUUUACA